GAGUUUGAUCGUGGCUCAGGACGAACGCUGGCGGCGUGCUUAACACAUGCAAGUCACGGGGGCUCGCAAGAGCAACCGGCGAACGGGUGCGUAACACGUGAGCGACCUGCCUCUUCGCGGGGGAUAGCCGGCCCAACGGCCGGGUAAUACCGCAUACGCAGGCGGUGUUUCAUGACACUGCCCUGGAAACCUCCGGGGCGGAGAGAGGGGCUCGCGGCCUAUCAGCUCGUUGGCGGGGUAACGGCCCACCAAGGCGACGACGGGUAGCUGGUCUGAGAGGAUGGCCAGCCACAUUGGGACUGAGAGACGGCCCAGACUCCUACGGGAGGCAGCAGUGGGGAAUCUUGCGCAAUGGCCGAAAGGCUGACGCAGCGACGCCGCGUGUGGGAGGACGCCCCUCGGGGUGUAAACCACUGUUGCCCGGGACGAAUAGCCUUUUUCGAGAGGCCUGACGGUACCGGGUGAGGAAGCACCGGCUAACUCCGUGCCAGCAGCCGCCGU
rnacentral:rRNA from 1 species